UUAAGCGACUAAGCGUACACGGUGGAUGCCCUGGCAGUCAGAGGCGAUGAAGGACGUGCUAAUCUGCGAUAAGCGUCGGUAAGGUGAUAUGAACCGUUAUAACCGGCGAUUUCCGAAUGGGGAAACCCAGUGUGAUUCGUCACACUAUCAUUAACUGAAUCCAUAGGUUAAUGAGGCGAACCGGGGGAACUGAAACAUCUAAGUACCCCGAGGAAAAGAAAUCAACCGAGAUUCCCCCAGUAGCGGCGAGCGAACGGGGAGCAGCCCAGAGCCUGAAUCAGUGUGUGUGUUAGUGGAAGCGUCUGGAAAGGCGCGCGAUACAGGGUGACAGCCCCGUACACAAAAAUGCACAUACUGUGAGCUCGAUGAGUAGGGCGGGACACGUGGUAUCCUGUCUGAAUAUGGGGGGACCAUCCUCCAAGGCUAAAUACUCCUGACUGACCGAUAGUGAACCAGUACCGUGAGGGAAAGGCGAAAAGAACCCCGGCGAGGGGAGUGAAAAAGAACCUGAAACCGUGUACGUACAAGCAGUGGGAGCACGCUUAGGCGUGUGACUGCGUACCUUUUGUAUAAUGGGUCAGCGACUUAUAUUCUGUAGCAAGGUUAACCGAAUAGGGGAGCCGAAGGGAAACCGAGUCUUAACUGGGCGUUAAGUUGCAGGGUAUAGACCCGAAACCCGGUGAUCUAGCCAUGGGCAGGUUGAAGGUUGGGUAACACUAACUGGAGGACCGAACCGACUAAUGUUGAAAAAUUAGCGGAUGACUUGUGGCUGGGGGUGAAAGGCCAAUCAAACCGGGAGAUAGCUGGUUCUCCCCGAAAGCUAUUUAGGUAGCGCCUCGUGAAUUCAUCUCCGGGGGUAGAGCACUGUUUCGGCAAGGGGGUCAUCCCGACUUACCAACCCGAUGCAAACUGCGAAUACCGGAGAAUGUUAUCACGGGAGACACACGGCGGGUGCUAACGUCCGUCGUGAAGAGGGAAACAACCCAGACCGCCAGCUAAGGUCCCAAAGUCAUGGUUAAGUGGGAAACGAUGUGGGAAGGCCCAGACAGCCAGGAUGUUGGCUUAGAAGCAGCCAUCAUUUAAAGAAAGCGUAAUAGCUCACUGGUCGAGUCGGCCUGCGCGGAAGAUGUAACGGGGCUAAACCAUGCACCGAAGCUGCGGCAGCGACACUAUGUGUUGUUGGGUAGGGGAGCGUUCUGUAAGCCUGUGAAGGUGUACUGUGAGGUAUGCUGGAGGUAUCAGAAGUGCGAAUGCUGACAUAAGUAACGAUAAAGCGGGUGAAAAGCCCGCUCGCCGGAAGACCAAGGGUUCCUGUCCAACGUUAAUCGGGGCAGGGUGAGUCGACCCCUAAGGCGAGGCCGAAAGGCGUAGUCGAUGGGAAACAGGUUAAUAUUCCUGUACUUGGUGUUACUGCGAAGGGGGGACGGAGAAGGCUAUGUUGGCCGGGCGACGGUUGUCCCGGUUUAAGCGUGUAGGCUGGUUUUCCAGGCAAAUCCGGAAAAUCAAGGCUGAGGCGUGAUGACGAGGCACUACGGUGCUGAAGCAACAAAUGCCCUGCUUCCAGGAAAAGCCUCUAAGCAUCAGGUAACAUCAAAUCGUACCCCAAACCGACACAGGUGGUCAGGUAGAGAAUACCAAGGCGCUUGAGAGAACUCGGGUGAAGGAACUAGGCAAAAUGGUGCCGUAACUUCGGGAGAAGGCACGCUGAUAUGUAGGUGAAGUCCCUCGCGGAUGGAGCUGAAAUCAGUCGAAGAUACCAGCUGGCUGCAACUGUUUAUUAAAAACACAGCACUGUGCAAACACGAAAGUGGACGUAUACGGUGUGACGCCUGCCCGGUGCCGGAAGGUUAAUUGAUGGGGUCAGCGCAAGCGAAGCUCUUGAUCGAAGCCCCGGUAAACGGCGGCCGUAACUAUAACGGUCCUAAGGUAGCGAAAUUCCUUGUCGGGUAAGUUCCGACCUGCACGAAUGGCGUAAUGAUGGCCAGGCUGUCUCCACCCGAGACUCAGUGAAAUUGAACUCGCUGUGAAGAUGCAGUGUACCCGCGGCAAGACGGAAAGACCCCGUGAACCUUUACUAUAGCUUGACACUGAACAUUGAGCCUUGAUGUGUAGGAUAGGUGGGAGGCUUUGAAGUGUGGACGCCAGUCUGCAUGGAGCCGACCUUGAAAUACCACCCUUUAAUGUUUGAUGUUCUAACGUUGACCCGUAAUCCGGGUUGCGGACAGUGUCUGGUGGGUAGUUUGACUGGGGCGGUCUCCUCCUAAAGAGUAACGGAGGAGCACGAAGGUUGGCUAAUCCUGGUCGGACAUCAGGAGGUUAGUGCAAUGGCAUAAGCCAGCUUGACUGCGAGCGUGACGGCGCGAGCAGGUGCGAAAGCAGGUCAUAGUGAUCCGGUGGUUCUGAAUGGAAGGGCCAUCGCUCAACGGAUAAAAGGUACUCCGGGGAUAACAGGCUGAUACCGCCCAAGAGUUCAUAUCGACGGCGGUGUUUGGCACCUCGAUGUCGGCUCAUCACAUCCUGGGGCUGAAGUAGGUCCCAAGGGUAUGGCUGUUCGCCAUUUAAAGUGGUACGCGAGCUGGGUUUAGAACGUCGUGAGACAGUUCGGUCCCUAUCUGCCGUGGGCGCUGGAGAACUGAGGGGGGCUGCUCCUAGUACGAGAGGACCGGAGUGGACGCAUCACUGGUGUUCGGGUUGUCAUGCCAAUGGCACUGCCCGGUAGCUAAAUGCGGAAGAGAUAAGUGCUGAAAGCAUCUAAGCACGAAACUUGCCCCGAGAUGAGUUCUCCCUGACUCCUUGAGAGUCCUGAAGGAACGUUGAAGACGACGACGUUGAUAGGCCGGGUGUGUAAGCGCAGCGAUGCGUUGAGCUAACCGGUACUAAUGAACCGUGAGGCUUAACCUU
rnacentral:rRNA from 1 species